AUCUACCUGAUGGACAGGCUGCCUUUAUUUGCCUGUGGAAUCCGCAGGAAGUGUGCAGUCCAGUGCGAUUGGGUUCCAGUGUUCCUGCCCGUUCACGUUUACGGGUGUGCCGCUCCAUCCAGAGUUCAUUUUUGCUCACUCUCCUGUACUGCCCAUGGGAGUGAUCGUGCAGUGUUGUGGUCUUUGUAAGUGCAUAGGAGUAGGAGACAGAAUUAAAGAAGUAUUUCUGAGUGUGUGUUGCUGGGGCAAUGAUGCAUCCUUCGGUAAAGUCAACAUACGGUGCAUUCUCUUCUUCAGAUCAAAGGCGGAUACAUGAAGAUCCCAGCGCGAGCUGCACUGUCUCCUUCCACAAGUCACAGCACAGGGCCCAGCAGCCCCCAGACGUCCUUGGCCCCAGGACUACUCUGGUGUACGGUUUGGGACAAUGACUCCUGUGAGCGAAGGGGGCAUAUCCAACAGCGUUUUUGACCUGGACUAUGCUUCCUGGGAGAUCCGCUCCACACUGGUGGUCGCAGGCUUUGUCUUCUACCUGGGUGUCUUUGUGGCCUGCCACCAGCUGUCGUCCUCCCUCAACGCCACUUACCGUUCUCUAGGGGCCAGAGAGAAGGUCUUCUGGGACCUGGCAGCCACGCGGGCUGUCUUUGGCGUCCAGAGCUCAGCUGCGGGCCUGUGGGCUCUGCUGUGGGACCCUGUGCUUCAAGCUGACAAAGCGCUUGGCCAGCAAAACUGGUGCUGGUUCCACAUCACCACAGCCACAGGGUUCUUCUUCUUUGAAAAUGUGGCCGUUCACCUGUCCAACAUGUUCUUCCGUACCUUUGACUUGUUCCUGGUUGUGCACCACCUCUUUGCCUUUCUUGGAUUUCUAGGCUCAGCGAUCAAUCUCAGAGCUGGCCACUACCUAGCGAUGACCACAUUGCUGCUGGAGAUGAGCACCCCCUUUACCUGCAUUUCCUGGAUGCUCUUAAAGGCCGGCUGGUCCGAGACGCUGUUCUGGAAGCUCAACCAGUGGCUGAUGAUCCACAUGUUUCACUGUCGCAUGGUCCUCACCUACCACAUGUGGUGGGUGUGCUUCUGGCACUGGGGACGCCUCGUCAGCAGCCUGUACCUGCCUCAUUUCGCACUGUUCCUUGUUGGGCUGGCCCUGCUCACACUCAUCAUUAAUCCAUAUUGGACCCACAAGAAGACCCAGCAGCUUCUCAAUCCAGUGGAUUGGAACUUUGCACAGCCUGAGACCAAGAGCAGCUGGCCAGAGAGGACCAAUGGUCAGGUGCUGCAGAAGAAGAAGCCAUAGUGGCCGUAGUCGGGACCAGGUGGACCACUGUGUCUGUGGAUGCAGCACAUGGGUUCCACAGCUCCGAGAACAGUGACUUUUGUAACAAAUAAGGUCUUGACUAUCUGUGUAGCGCUAAGUGGAACCCUGGCUUUCUAGUCACUAGUAUUAAUUCUGAAGUAGCCACAGAGUAUUACGAGGCCUCCUUCACCUUCCGGAGCAGAUCUUUGCCACUGUGACUUCCUGGACUCCUCUGGCUUGUUCCUGCAGGCAGUUAGCUCGGAGGAGGAGCCCUGGUGGCAGGCACACUGCCGGCUGGGGAGUGCUCCGGGCUGCGUUGACUCCUCUUAGCCGCAGGCUCACAUUCUGUGUGUAUUAUUCCAAAGACAUUUUCCUUUAGUUGGAAAGGAUUGGCCCAAGGAAGUCCCAGUGUAUGGCCUUUUAAAGCUGGUGUGUAAUGGUACCACCUAGUGGCAGUGGAGCCGUUGCGGUGGCCCUGGGUAGGAGACUGCCACCCAGGAUGCCACCUGCCCUGACGGGAGUGCAAGUUAUAAAAACUUCCACUUUUUUUUUUUAAUCAAGAAAGAUUUUUAAAUGAUUUUUAUUGACAUUGUAUUUCUCAAUUGACAGAAUAAGUUGGAUCACCAAAUGGGCCAGGAAGCCUGAAUGACUCAGAACGUGGGACAAGGAGGGAGGGGACUGUCCUGUCCACCACCCCUUCUCAUCUAGCACCAAGCCUGCUCCUCUCAGCGUCCCACCGCUCCCCAAAGUGUGGCCCAGCUGGUGUAGCUCUGCUCAUGGUGGCAAUGCUUCAGCUCAACCCAAGGGUCUCGUGAUGUCCCCCUUUCUCUGACUGGCAGCCCUGCAGGAAGUACCGUUGCCUCCACUGCACAGCCGGGGAGCUCCAGGCUGGGAGCCGCUGUGGUUACGCAUGGUGACACGGCCCCUGCGUGCCAUGCCUGCUCCUGGGUGCGUCAGCACCAGCCGACUCGGGUAUGGUGCCCAGCCUGGUGGGCACUUCCUGUGGGUCUCAGUCCUUGUGCUGCUGUGACAGCACAAUCCCAGACUGAUUGCCCUGGUUCUGGAGGCUGGCAGUCCAAGGUCAAGAAGCUGUGGUUCAGUGUCAGAUAGGGACCCAGCCUCCUUUCGCACUGUGGCUACGUCCCCGGAGGGAACAGGCCAGAUCCUCAGGUGGCAGAAGGGAUGGAAGGAUAGCAGAGGGCCUACGCUGGUCCACAGCCCUUCUCAGGCACUGAUUCUCUGGUGAGGGCAAGAGCCUGACACUCAGCACCCACAGUGGCAGGUACUAUUAACAGAGCCACCCUCAUGCCCCUGCCGCAGGAGAUGUCACUGGCUCUAGGCUCACAGGGUGGUGCCUGCCUGACCUCCUGGCACGUCUCCAGUAGCUGCCAUGCCUAGCUUGGGAGGACGCCCAGUGACUGGGUGGGUGUCCGAGCAGGGAACGACUGUCACGUGUCUGCCCAGCAGGCACCUGUCAGAAAACAGAUGCAAACCCCAGAGGGCAACAGAACAUCUGGCAAGGGCACAUCGACCAAGGUAGGGUGGCCAGCUUCACCUCGCGCAGUGUCCCACCAUGGCCUGGGGCUGUAGGUGACAUUCUCUGCAGAGAACUGUAGUCACUGAGGACUGGCCCAGCUGGGGGAACUGGGGAGAAACGGCGGCAGGCACAAGGUUGGGUGAGGUCUGCUGGGGUUGGCCUCUCCCACUGGGAGCCCAUAAGUUGACGGCAUGCUAACCCUUUCUUCUGUGAGACAGGUCCUAGGUGUUUUACUGAAGACGGUGCGUUUACUCCACCACGAAGCUGUCGUGCAGAUUGAAGAAGUGGAGAGACACUGGGGCUGCCUAGUAACGCUGACAGCAGGACCUCAGGCUCAUGGGCCGCCACCAUGCCUCAGGAGUGCUGUGGGCUGCCUUCGUGGGCCCCACCCAGCAACAGUGGCACGAGCUUGGAGAAGUAGCAGUCAGAAGUGCCCUGCUGCACAGGAUGCCUUUCUCUGCUUGGCCUCAGACUGGACAUACACCAUAUGAGUUGGGAGUGGUGCCCAGGCACAGAGGACGGCAGAGUCCAGCUCCCGCUUGCCCGGGUCUCCCUGGCGCUGCCUGCUGUGCCUUAGGUGCCAGGAGAUCAGCAGCAGGGGGCUGGACAGAGGCACCUGGGACAGGCUACAUGGGAAGAAGCUGCCCCUCUGGGGUCAGAGUACAGGGGAGCACUGGGCUGCUGACUUUUCUUCGGGUUCCCUCAAAAUGAGGCCGCCCGUGUCUGCCUCAGACCCCACUCUGCAUGGGGAGUGCAGUGCGCUGGCCUUCCUGUGAGGCUGCGCACAGCCUGAGGCCCUCAUGGGCCUGCCUGGGGGCCCAGUACUGCAGGAAGAGGGAGCCAGCAGCCCGGCUGUGCAUGGCUCCACCUAAGAGCACACCAACAGAAACAACCUGGCUUUGGCUGAUGCUCGCCAAUGCUUUCGAGUCGCCUCUGUCUCUAAGUCACUGUCUGCUUUGUUAGGAGAGCUUAUUCAGUCACCAUUCCUUCUGAAGUAAACUUUCCUCUUUCAGUAAUUAA